rnacentral:rRNA from 1 species
CUUUAGGGACUGCGGACGACAUUA